rnacentral:rRNA from 1 species
AUUGAACGCUGGCGGCAGGCCUAACACAUGCAAGUCGAGCGGUAGCACGGAGAGCUUGCUCUCGGGUGACGAGCGGCGGACGGGUGAGUAAUGUCUGGGAAACUGCCUGAUGGAGGGGGAUAACUACUGGAAACGGUAGCUAAUACCGCAUAACGUCGCAAGACCAAAGAGGGGGACCUUCGGGCCUCUUGCCAUCAGAUGUGCCCAGAUGGGAUUAGCUAGUAGGUGGGGUAACGGCUCACCUAGGCGACGAUCCCUAGCUGGUCUGAGAGGAUGACCAACCACACUGGAACCGAGACACGGUCCAGACUCCUACGGGAGGCAGCAGUGGGGAAUAUUGCACAAUGGGCUCAAGCCUGAUGCAGCCAUGCCGCGUGUAUGAAGAAGGCCUUCGGGUUGUAAAGUACUUUCAGCGGGGAGGAAGGUGUUGAGGUUAAUAACCUCAGCAAUUGACGUUACCCGCAGAAGAAGCACCGGCUAACUCCGUGCCAGCCGCCGCCGUAA